rnacentral:sRNA from 1 species
UUUCAUAUUUGAUUCGUUUAGUUAAUCUGUUGUCGAUCUACUACUAUCACAGAACGUGUGAUCCCAAACGGAUACUCAUAGCAGAUCUAAUGAAUUUCUUUAGUUUUUGUAAAAAAAUGUUUCUUAUUUUUCAAUUAAUUUUGGUAAAUAAUUUAAUUAUAACAUU